UAGGGAAUAUUGCAAAAUGGGCGAAAGCCCGAUGCAGCAACGCCGCGUGGGCGAUGAAGGCCUUCGGGUCGUAAAGCCCUUUUUGAGGGGAUGAGGAAGGACAGUACCCUCAGAAUAAGCCUCGGCUAACUACGUGCCAGCAGCCGCGGUAAAACGUAGGAGGCGAGCGUUAUCCGGAUUUACUGGGCGUAAAGCGCGUGCAGGCGGAUUGGAGAGUUGGAUGUGAAAGCUCCCGGCUUAACUGGGAGAGGUCGUUCAAUACUUCCAGUCUUGAGUGCAGUAGAGGGAAGUGGAAUUCCGGGUGUAGUGGUGAAAUGCGUAGAUAUCCGGAGGAACACCAGUGGCGAAAGCGGCUUCCUGGACUGUAACUGACGCUCAGACGCGAAAGCUAGGGUA
rnacentral:rRNA from 1 species